GUUACAACCUUUUCCAGGUUACUCACUGCCGUGGAUACUCAACACCUGCAGAGCCUAUUAAACCUUGAUGCUGUUCAGCUGCUAUCACUGCAGCAGUUUGACACUCAGUACUCAUUCCUCAAAAAAAUAAGGGAUUUUCUGAGCUCAACACACACAGACAAAGUCCUCAUUAUCCAAGCAGAGUAUGAUGAAGGAUUUCACAAAAAGAAUAUUAUUUCCUCAGCCAAGUAUGCAUGCUUCAGCGAAGUAAACAAGUGUCAAACUACUGAUGCCAUAAAGACAUUUGUGUACUUUGUCAUCAAACUACCGCGCAUGGAGGGUGGAACUUCCUAUGUUGGGUUUCAA